CAUACCGUAAGCCGGUUGAAAGACAGUUUCAGGUGGGCAGUUUGACUGGGGCGGUCGCCUCCCAAAAGGUAACGGAGGCGUACAAAGGUUUCCUCAGAUCGUUCAGAAAUCGAUCUUAGAGUGCAAAGGCAAAAGGAAGCUUAACUGUGAGACAAACAAGUCGAGCAGAGACGAAAGUCGGCCAUAGUGAUCCGGUGGUCCUGCGUGGAAGGGCCAUCGCUCAACGAAUAAAAGGUACUCUAGGGAUAACAGGCUGAUUUUGCCCAAGAGUCCAUAUCGACGGCAAAGUUUGGCACCUCGAUGUCGGCUCAUCACAUCCUGGGGCUGAAGCAGGUCCCAAGGGUUUGGCUGUUCGCCAAUUAAAGUGGUACGUGAGCUGGGUUUAAAACGUCGUGAGACAGUUUGGUCCCUAUCUGCCGUGGGCGUUGGAAAUUUGAAGGGGGCUGCUCCUAGUACGAGAGGACCGGAGUGGACGAACCUCUGGUGUACCGGUUGUCACGCCAGUGGCAUUGCCGGGUAGCUAAGUCUGGAAGAGAUAACCGCUGAAAGCAUCUAAGCGGGAAACUUGCCUUGAGAUGAGAUUUCCCAGAGCCUUGAGCUCUUUAAAGGGUCGUUCGAGACCAGGACGUUGAUAGGUCAGGUGUGGAAG
rnacentral:rRNA from 1 species